rnacentral:rRNA from 1 species
AUUGAACGCUGGCGGCAGGCCUAACACAUGCAAGUCGAACGAGUGGCGGACGGGUGAGUAAUGUCUGGGAAACUGGCUGAUGGAGGGGGAUAACUACUGGAAACGGUAGCUAAUACCGCAUACCAUCGGAUGUGCCCAGAUGGGAUUAGCUAGUUGGUGGGGUAAAGGCUCACCAAGGCGACGAUCCCUAGCUGGUCUGAGAGGAUGACCAGCCACACUGGGACUGAGACACGGUCCAGACUCCUACGGGAGGCAGCAGUGGGGAAUAUUGCGCAAUGGGGGCAAGCCUGAUGCAGCCAUGCCGCGUGUAUGAAGAAGGCCUUCGGGUUGUAAAGUUCUUUCGGUAGGGAGGCGUUAAUCGCAGAAGAAGCACCGGCUAACUCCGUGCCAGCAGCCGCGGUAAUUC